rnacentral:tRNA from 1 species
UCCCUGGUGGUACAGUGGUUAGAACUCAGAGCUUUUACUGCCGUGGCCUGGGUUCAAUUCCUGGUCAAGGAA